rnacentral:rRNA from 1 species
GACAGAGGGUGCAAACGUUGUUCGGAAUUACUGGGCGUAAAGCGCACGUAGGCGGUCUUUUAAGUCGGGGGUGAAAUCCUGGAGCUCAACUCCAGAACUGCCUUCGAUACUGGAAGACUUGAGUCCGGGAGAGGUGAGUGGAACUGCGAGUGUAGAGGUGAAAUUCGUAGAUAUUCGCAAGAACACCAGUGGCGAAGGCGGCUCACUGGCCCGGUACUGACGCUGAGGUGCGAAAGCGUGGGGAGCAAACAGG